rnacentral:ncRNA from 1 species
GCCUGCGGCUUAAUUUGACUCAACACUGGAAAACUUACCAGGUCCGAACUUAUUGAGGUAAGACAGAUUAAUAGCUCUUUCUCAAAAUUAAGGGUAGUGGUGCAUGGCCGUUCUUAGUUCGUGGAAUGAUUUGUCUGGUUAAUUCCGAUAACGAACGUGACUCAAUCAAAUUAAAUAGAACGCUAUCAGCUUUUCAGUGUCUUGCGAACCUUCGUGGUGAACGGACACUAGAGCUGCGGUAUUUUUUUACUACCUAAGCUCAGAGUUAUUUCAAAACAAAAUUCACAGUCUUUUUAAAGACUACCUGAGUUAUUUUCCAAAAUUCUAAACAGUCUUUUCAAGACUAACCCCACCUGAAAUUUUGUUGUAUUUUACAAACAAAGCCAUCUUUUUAAGAGAACUUUGCUUGCAAAAUGCGUCAAAACAAAGGUAAACGCAAAUCUUCUGAAGAUUUGGUCGUUACGUCGGU